rnacentral:rRNA from 1 species
AACGAACGCUGGCGGAAGGGCGAACACAUGCAAGUCGAACGAGACCUUCGGGUCUAGUGGCGCACGGGUGCGUAACGCGUGGGAACCUGCCCUUAGGUUCGGAAUAACUCCCCGAAAGGGGUGCUAAUACCGGAUAAUGUCUUCGGACCAAAGAUUUAUCGCCUUUGGAUGGGCCCGCGUUGGAUUAGCUAGUUGGUAGGGUAAAAGCCUACCAAGGCGACGAUCCAUAGCUGGUCUGAGAGGAUGAUCAGCCACACUGGGACUGAGACACGGCCCAGACUCCUACGGGAGGCAGCAGUGGGGAAUAUUGGACAAUGGGCGAAAGCCUGAUCCAGCAAUGCCGCGUGAGUGAUGAAGGCCUUAGGGUUGUAAAGCUCUUUUACCCGGGAUGAUAAUGACAGUACCGGGAGAAUAAGCUCCGGCUAACUCCGUG